UAUAAAAAAAGUUUUUGUUUUAAACCGACGCGUUUUGGCUGCAUGGCCUUCGUCAGGGAGUACAAAAAAAAAGGAAUAUAAUGUCCUCUUUUGAACAGCUUUUCAAUUAGCCCUAAUUGGAAGAGGGAGUGGUUACACAAUUGAUUGGACACACCUAGUAAGCAAAACUAUACACAUUAAAAGGUGAAAUACUGUAGCUAUGUUAUCAUAAAAAUACAACUCCAAGCUAGAAGUAUCAGAAGACUAAAAGGUAGUUAUAACCUUAAAUAUGACUGGGAGAAGUGUCAAGAAUAAGAAAGCUAUAUAUUCCAUAGUACACUAGAACACAGCAAAACAUGAACAACAACAGUCUAACCAUAGCUGAGGGCAAUAGAGCAAAAUGUCCACUAGAUGACAGCAAAUGGACCCAUCACGACCCUACAGGAAGGGCCCUGAACGCUGUAGCCCUGAACGCUGUUUCUUUCAACUUUACAAGCAUUGACGAUGAGGAUCGCCCCAGACACUCAGAGGCCAGCUCCUCCCAAGAAGGGAUCAGGAAGAGGAGUAACGCAGGUUCCACAACAACUGGAGAGGACGCGGAAGAGGCCAACACAGAGGGGGAGGAAGAAAUCAAGACUAUCUAACCACACGGAGCAGGACCAGAACAAGGCUGUGAUCAUUUCUGGAGAACCCCUUUCUGAUGAUUACAUAAGGGAAUCUACAUCUGAAGGCCUGGUACAAACAAAACCUCUCUCCAACUACAGACGCCAGUGUCUCAGGUCAGGCAGUUUCUGUUCCCUCUAAAACACCUUUUUAGCCCAAGCCCACUUUUUUCCCCCUGGUUGAAAUGAAGAUAUGGAUUUCUCACCCUUCCUGUAGGGUCGUGAUGGGUUCAUUUGCUGUCAUCUAGUGGACAUUUUGCUCAAUUGCCCUCAGCUAUGGUUAGACUGUUGUUGUUCAUGUUUUGCUGUGUUCUUGUGUACUAUGGAAUAUAGCUUUCUUAUUCUUGACACUUCUCCCAGUCAUAUUUAAGGUUAGAACUACCUUUUAGUGUUCUGAUACUUCAAGUUUGAAGUUGUAUUUUUAUGAUAACAUAGCUACAGUAUUUCACCUUUUAAUGUGUUUCUAUUGAACAUGCCAUACUAAUAAAGGCAUUUUAAUCAAUUAUAUGAAGAGUGCCUUGGUCCUCCUUUCUUUUUGAUGACUACAUAAAGAGAGACC